UCCGGGUCCUGCACGGUGUGGAAUCCUCUGCUGCAGAUCUGGGUGCGGAGGACAUGGCGGGUACCGCGGGGACCUGAAAACUCCGGAGCCGCAGUCUCCACGCGGGGCGGCCUGGGAAAGUGACAGUCAGCAGCGCAGUGUCGGGAACCGCAGCCCGGUGGCCCAGGAACCUCCCAGACUUCACUGAUGCACCUGACCUACUCACCUUUGGAGCAGAACAAACAGGCCUGAGGAGACAGGAGACAGUGGCUAAAAAUAAUUCUGGAGACACCCACUGAGAAAUCGUCAGGAUUUUCCUAAUGUGGGCAUGAGAAGACUUUCUUCAGAACAACUGAUAAUGGAGUCAAUAAAAUUUUAUUUGACUAUG